GGUCAAGCGAACAAGUGCAUGUGGUGGAUGCCUUGGCGAUCACAGGCGAUGAAGGACGCGGUAGCCUGCGAAAAGCUACGGGGAGCUGGCAAACGAGCUUUGAUCCGUAGAUGUCCGAAUGGGGAAACCCGGCCCUUUUGGAGUCAUCCUAGACUGAAUACAUAGGUCUAGUGAAGCGAACGCGGUGAACUGAAACAUCUAAGUAACCGCAGGAAAAGAAAUCAACCGAGAUUCCCAAAGUAGUGGCGAGCGAAAUGGGAUGAGCCUUGCACUCUUUAUUUGUAUUGUUAGCCGAACGCUCUGGAAAGUGCGGCCAUAGCAGGUGAUAGCCCUGUAGGCGAAAACAGUAUGAAAGAACUAGGUGUGCGACAAGUAGGGCGGGACACGUGAAAUCCUGUCUGAAGAUGGGGGGACCAUCCUCCAAGGCUAAAUACUCGUGAUCGACCGAUAGUGAACCAGUACCGUGAGGGAAAGGCGAAAAGAACCCCGGGAGGGGAGUGAAAUAGAUCCUGAAACCGCAUGCAUACAAACAGUCGGAGCCUCGCAAGGGGUGACGGCGUACCUUUUGUAUAAUGGGUCAGCGACUUACGUUCAGUAGCAAGCUUAACCGUAUAGGGCAGGCGUAGCGAAAGCGAGUCCGAAUAGGGCGUUCAGUUGCUGGGCGUAGACCCGAAACCAGGUGAUCUAUCCAUGGCCAGGAUGAAGGUGCGGUAACACGUACUGGAGGUCCGAACCCACUAACGUUGAAAAGUUAGGGGAUGAGCUGUGGAUAGGGGUGAAAGGCUAAACAAACCUGGAAAUAGCUGGUUCUCUCCGAAAACUAUUUAGGUAGUGCCUCGUGUCUCACCUUCGGGGGUAGAGCACUGUCAUGGUUGGGGGGUCUAUUGCAGAUUACCCCGCCAUAGCAAACUCCGAAUACCGAAGAGUGCAAUCACGGGAGACAGACAUCGGGUGCUAACGUCCGGUGUCAAGAGGGAAACAACCCAGACCGCCAGCUAAGGUCCCCAAAUAUAGCUAAGUGGGAAACGAAGUGGGAAGGCUAAAACAGUCAGGAGGUUGGCUUAGAAGCAGCCACCCUUUAAAGAAAGCGUAAUAGCUCACUGAUCGAGUCGUCCUGCGCGGAAGAUGUAACGGGGCUAAGCUAUAUACCGAAGCUGCGGAUGCGAGCUUGCUCGCAUGGUAGGAGAGCGUUCCGUAAGCCUGCGAAGGUGCCUUGUAAAGGGUGCUGGAGGUAUCGGAAGUGCGAAUGCUGACAUGAGUAGCGAUAAAGGGGGUGAAAGGCCCCCUCGCCGUAAGCCCAAGGUUUCCUACGCAACGUUCAUCGGCGUAGGGUGAGUCGGCCCCUAAGGCGAGGCAGAAAUGCGUAGCUGAUGGGAAGCAGGUCAAUAUUCCUGCACCAUUGUUAGAUGCGAUGGGGGGACGGAUCGCGGAAGGUUGUCCGGGUGUUGGAAGUCCCGGUCGCUGCAUUGGAGAAGGCGCUUAGGCAAAUCCGGGCGCGUAAUUCAAGGGUGUGGCGCGAGCUCCUUAGGGAGCGAAGCAAUUGGAAGUGGUUCCAAGAAAAGCCUCUAAGCUUCAGUCUAACGAUGACCGUACCGCAAACCGACACAGGUGGGCGAGAUGAGUAUUCUAAGGCGCUUGAGAGAACUCGGGAGAAGGAACUCGGCAAAUUGGUACCGUAACUUCGGGAUAAGGUACGCCCUUGUAGCUUGACUGGCCUGCGCCAGGAGGGUGAAGGGGUUGCAAUAAACUGGUGGCUGCGACUGUUUAAUAAAAACACAGCACUCUGCAAACACGAAAGUGGACGUAUAGGGUGUGACGCCUGCCCGGUGCCGGAAGAUUAAAUGAUGGGGUGCAAGCUCUUGAUUGAAGUCCCGGUAAACGGCGGCCGUAACUAUAACGGUCCUAAGGUAGCGAAAUUCCUUGUCGGGUAAGUUCCGACCUGCACGAAUGGCGUAACGAUGGCCACACUGUCUCCUCCCGAGACUCAGCGAAGUUGAAGUGUUUGUGAUGAUGCAAUCUACCCGCGGCUAGACGGAAAGACCCCAUGAACCUUUACUGUAGCUUUGCAUUGGACUUUGAACCGAUCUGUGUAGGAUAGGUGGGAGGCUAUGAAACCGGAACGCUAGUUUCGGUGGAGCCGUCCUUGAAAUACCACCCUGGUUUGUUUGAGGUUCUAACCUUGGCCCGUGAUCCGGGUCGGGGACAGUGCAUGGUAGGCAGUUUGACUGGGGCGGUCUCCUCCCAAAGCGUAACGGAGGAGUACGAAGGUACGCUAGGUACGGUCGGAAAUCGUGCUGAUAGUGCAAUGGCAUAAGCGUGCUUAACUGCGAGACCGACAAGUCGAGCAGGUGCGAAAGCAGGUCAUAGUGAUCCGGUGGUUCUGUAUGGAAGGGCCAUCGCUCAACGGAUAAAAGGUACUCUGGGGAUAACAGGCUGAUACCGCCCAAGAGUUCAUAUCGACGGCGGUGUUUGGCACCUCGAUGUCGGCUCAUCUCAUCCUGGGGCUGUAGCCGGUCCCAAGGGUAUGGCUGUUCGCCAUUUAAAGAGGUACGUGAGCUGGGUUUAAAACGUCGUGAGACAGUUUGGUCCCUAUCUGCCGUGGGCGUUGGAUAUUUGAAGGGGGCUGCUCCUAGUACGAGAGGACCGGAGUGGACGAACCUCUGGUGUACCGGUUGUCACGCCAGUGGCAUCGCCGGGUAGCUAUGUUCGGAAGAGAUAACCGCUGAAAGCAUCUAAGCGGGAAACUCGCCUUAAGAUGAGAUAUCCCUGGGGACUAGAUCCCCUUGAAGGGUCGUUCGAGACCAGGACGUUGAUAGGUCAGGUGUGUAAGCGCAGUAAUGCGUUCAGCUAACUGAUACUAAUUGCCCGUAAGGCUUGAUCCU
rfam:Burkholderia cenocepacia J2315 chromosome 1, complete genome